UCUGUGAAUCGUUACAUCAAAUGAAAGUAGUUUGUAAUACAAAGUGAUAUUACGACAAAAUCAGACGGGAUGAAACAGAAA
rnacentral:sRNA from 12 species